AAAAAAUUAAAAGUUUAGGAAGUUUCUAUACAUUUUUAGCACAAAGAUAUUUUGGCAAAAAAAUUGUGAGGACCCUCUCAACUAUUAAGAUCCUUUGCAAUAGAGGGCUCAAAUUUAAUUUUUAAUUUAUUUUUAUAGGUUUUUAACUUUUUAUAAUUAAUUUUGGUUAAUUAAAUAAAAUAUUUAUUAAAAUUUAUACAAAAUUUGAUCAAAUAUUUUUUACAUAUGUAUUUUUACAUGAUUAGAUUAUAUUUAUUAAAUUAUAUUUUAGUUUAAGUGGUGAACCUUGUUGAAGCUUUUUCUUUUCCUAUUUAUGAAGAGUUGAAGACUAAUAACGAGCUCCCCCCAACAACCUUUUUUUCUUAUAAAUUUUUUAAUAAUUUUUUGCUCAUAUAUUUCUUUAUAAAAUUAUUUAGUUACUUACAAAUUCUUACAAAAAAUUUUAUAGCACAUAAACCAAUUUACAUUAUUUUUAUUCAAAUUAUUUUUAAAUUUAUAUAAUUAAUAAUUAAAAAUUAAAAUAAUAUAAAUAUUUUAAUUAAAAUUUAUUAUUAAAAUAUUUUAUAUUCGUAGUAUCGCGCGGAUAAUUCACUUAUAAAAUAAUGAUUCUCAGAUCAAAUUUAAACAAAAAAAUAAGAAAAAAAGAAAAAAAAAUCUCUGGUAUAAAUUUUGAAUAU
rnacentral:lncRNA from 1 species